UUAGCUGUGACUGGAUUGUUUUCCUCCGGGUUUUCUUACUUGGGAUCAAUCCGGCUCCAUCGCGCGUUUUGUGAGACCAAUUCUGAGAAUGCGAAACAGAGAGAAAGGGCCAAAAUUGAGGCGAAUCUGAGGCAUGCUGAUGGGACUUAGGUUCUCUGAUUCGGAGAGAAUGUAGGAGCUGUUGUCUGGUUGGCUUUAAAAAUGUGAUUCCAGAGGAGCUUGAGUGAAGAGUCUGAAGUGAGCAUGCUCCGACUCUUCAUUCAAAGAACCCCCUUCUGCACGGUACUUGGCUACUUAGAGGGAAUCAAGGAAAUGAGAUUCCAGCCAGAAAGAUUGGGGACAAGGAAUUAACUCUUGAAGAAAUGGGAAAAGACAUGUGGAUCUUGGAAGAGAAUUCUAAAUAUGCAGAGAAGAACAGGGUCUUGCAAAGUUGCUGAGACUGGCUCUAAACUUGGAAUCCUCCUGCUUCAGUUUCCCAAGGACUAAAAUUGAAGGUUUUUCUUAGAAUAUCAUUUGUCAUAUUCAUUUGAUCAAGAAUUUGAAGAUUUAUAUGUAAUAAGGUAUAAGUAGUCUCAAUAUGUACAAGUAUCAGUUACCAUAGUAAGUGGUUAAAAUUUUAGUUACCAUUAACUGUAAAUAGUUAUAUAAAUUUUACUAUUAGCUCUUUAGCUCAUAAAUUAUUUUGCAAAUAAAAAAUGUACAUCAUCAUCAGUGAUCUGUCACUUUACUUCUUUCAAAGUCUGAUGGUGACUGGUGACUGAUAAUUUAUUCAGUUCUUGCACAGAUAGCAAAGAGCAUAGUUUGACUGCCUUGUCUCCCAGAAACUAAACUCAUUUGACAGUUUACAAAAAUGGAUAAUCAAAAGAAGGAAUUGGUCAACAAAGAUGACAGGGCAGUAAAGAAAUGAAAAUUGAUAAAGCUGGAAGUGAAAAUGGAUGAAAUUAGAAGAUCUGAAAGUGGCAACUGCAAAGCAAAGAGUGGCAAUCUAGGCCUGCAGGAAGCUACAGUGUGAACUAUAUUGAAGGUAUAGUUAGUUGCUUCCAUAUCUUAAUUUAAAUUGUGCUAGGAAUAGAAAACCAUUUAUAGUCAAAAUUGAAGACUAAUCAAAAACAGUUCCCAGUUUGGCUAGCUAGCUUUCAGGCCCAAGCACUGAUGUUAAGUAUUACAUUGAAAGUAGUAGUUACAGUGAAACUGAAAAUGAAAAUUUUACUGCCAAUAAAGACUGGUUUCAUUAUUUCAGAAGUCAGCAUGAAUUGAUUAAUGUUAAUCUAUUGGGUUAAGUUACAAGCUCAGAUAUAGGUACUACUAUGAAAUUUGCUCCUAUAUUCCAAAAUAUAAUAGUCUUACUCUAAGGCUCAGUGGAAUCCAACUUUGUAGGAUUCAGAUGCAAUGUUAUAGAAAGUAAAGUGGGCUAGGAAGAAUUUGAUACUGCUGCUGUUCAAGAGACAGUUCUAGAAAAGCCAGAGGAACUUAGUGAAGGUUAACCUCUUGGCAUAAAUGAUAGAAGUGGUUGUGAUAUAAAAGAUGAGCAUACCUCAGAGGAAGUGAUUUCAGCAAAAACCCUUCACAUCAAACUCAGAGAUAUUUCAUGACCUUGAAAGCAAAAAGGAUAAAAUGUUUGGUUCCUGUUCCUAUUUCUAUUCUCACUGCCUAUUUGAAGUAAAAUGAAGGCAAGUGCUUUUUAAACUACUCUUGAUAAAUUAUUUACAUUUUAUAAAAACACUCAUUUUUCAGCUUGUAAUGUUUUUAAUUUACAGUGAACUAAAUACUAAUUUUACAGUACAAAAAAGUUACAGAAUAAUGUUUUUGCAUGUAAUAAUCAACAUCAAUUUUUUUCUGUGCUUUUUCAUUUUUUCUUUUUAGGUAUACAUGAUGGUAGAGUAUAAUUUGACUUAUUUAUACAAACAUGGAAUACAUCUUACUCUAAUUGGGAUCCCAGUCUUGUGGUUAUACAUGACAUAGAAAUUCACUGUGGUAUAUUCCUGUAUGUACAUAGGAAAGUUAUGUCAAUCAUUCCACUGUUUUUCCUAUUCCUGUCCCCCUGUCCUUUGCCUUCAGAAGUCACAGAACAAUUGUAUAUUUUUCCAAAAACUUAGAUUGCAUUGCUCCUGCAUUUAAAACACAUUAAACCAAAUAUAAAUACAUCAAGUCUAUAGAUAUUUAUUGUUAUAAUUCUAUAUUUACUUUUCAUAUUGCCUUUGUAUGCUAAUACCAAAGUUUUGAAAUUAUAGUAUUGAAUUUCUUGUAUUUGGAGUUCAUUUAUCAAUCCUUUUAUAGGCCAUACUUUAAUAGAGAUUGACAACAUUUUCUAGUAAGAUCCUAGAAAAUAUUUUAGGCUUUGAAGGCCAUGUGAUCAGUUACAGCUAUUCAGCUCUGUAUAGCAAAAAGCAGCCAUAGACAAUAACCACCAUUGGGUGUGAAUGUGUACCAAUAAAAUUUUAUUUAUGAAUA